rnacentral:rRNA from 1 species
CUGGCGGCAUGCCUAAUACAUGCAAGUCGAACGAGAUCUUCGGAUCUAGUGGCGCACGGGUGCGUAACGCGUGGGAAUCUGCCCUUGGGUUCGGAAUAACGUCGGGAAACUGACGCUAAUACCGGAUGAUGACGUAAGUCCAAAGAUUUAUCGCCCAGGGAUGAGCCCGCGUAGGAUUAGCUAGUUGGUGGGGUAAAGGCCUACCAAGGCGACGAUCCUUAGCUGGUCUGAGAGGAUGAUCAGCCACACUGGGACUGAGACACGGCCCAGACUCCUACGGGAGGCAGCAGUAGGGAAUAUUGGACAAUGGGGGCAACCCUGAUCCAGCAAUGCCGCGUGAGUGAUGAAGGCCUUAGGGUUGUAAAGCUCUUUUACCAGAGAUGAUAAUGACAGUAUCUGG